CAUUCCUUUUUAAACUAUUUUAACCAUUUAAUUUAUUAUCUUUUCCAAUAAUUCGACAUCAAUUAUUACAGAAGUGUAAAUAUAAUGUACCUAUUUUAAGUUUUUAUUAUAUCUUUACAUUCCUUUUUCAUUCUUCAUGAUUACUUUAUUAAUUGUCUUUACCAUAAUAAUUUGACAUCAUUUAGUUUACGUGGUAACAUAAUAAUAAUUCUACAGGUUUGAAUGCAAUUGUUCCAUUUGUGACAUGAAUUCAAACCGGUUAACAAAGAAAGAUUUACUUAUUUACAUAAUUAGUUAGGCAUGGGUAUUUCGGUAUUCGUUUGGGUACGAAUCGGUUUUUUAAGGUCUCAUGAUUUUGGAUUUUAAAAUUAUGCCCUGUUUGGAUAUUGUAAGUUUAUGGGCAUAGUUCGAGUCGGGUCCUCGGUUAUGGUGUAUAGGAAUAUAAAGCUAUCCAAAAGCAUAUGUGCUUAGAAAUGUCAUUAAACAAUUUAUUAAAAAAGAAAAAGUAAAACACAACAGACAAGCGGAUCAAGCUCUAGUUAGAUUUUAAAACUUUAGAGAGGAUUCAUGUCUCUAAGGGGAGAUUUGAACAAACAUUAAACUCACGGAUUCGAUAAAUCAAAAAGAUUUGCUUCCUUUGAUGUAUUUGACUACAAAACUAUACUUUGUUUUUAUUCAUAUUAUAGAAACUUAUUUUGAAAUUAAGUAUGUCUUUUAUGUUUACCAAAUAUUUUUCAUGAAAGAUUAAAAUAUUACCCUACCAAUAUUGAAACAUAAUUACGAAAUAGAAUAUUUUCUUUUGACUAUAAUCUGAAGAAAUAAAUCGAAAUGAUUUUUUUGACUUAAAAAUACCUUUUACGUAUAUUUUUUUUGUUAAAUAUAUAACAAUCCGAAGUAAAAAAAAAAUAUAAAAAAUUUAAAAAGUUAAGAAGAUAUCAUAAAAAUGGCUAUCACCAAGAAAAUGCUACUUGCAUAUGUUGUCAGUAUCUUCCUCAUCGUAUCUUCUGUGCACUGCUCUGAUCGCAUUCUUGGUGCUGGAAUCAAUAAAGAAUUAAAACAAUGCUUCCCAAAGCAGCCGUGUGGGAAGACUUGCGAAGAGUACUGUGUAGGACACAUUAACGAUAAAUGGGGUAUAAGGACAUCUUGUGAAUCUGGCGCAUGUUGUUGUAUAAAACAUGGUGCUGUAUAACCACGAGAUAUUGUAAUCUCAUCAAAUAUAUGUAUCUCCUAGAAUAAUGGUUUGGAUGUAAUAAAUGGUUUGUGUAUUGUGCUCUCGAUCUUCUUACCUAAAGAAAAUCAUUAUCUA